GGAUCAUUAUCGUAAAACUGAGGCACGAGGGCUGUCGCUGACUUUUUCGUCGUGCACGCCCGAGCGCUCUCAAACAUCCAUCUCACCCCUAUGUGCACCACCGCGUGGGUCCCCCUUUGGCUCGUCCCGAGGGGGGCUCGCGUUUUCACACAAACUCGAUACAGUGUAGAAUGUCUUUAUUUUGCGAUAACACGCAAUUAAUACAACUUUCAACAACGGAUCUCUUGGCUCUCGCAUCGAUGAAGAACGCAGCGAAAUGCGAUACGUAAUGUGAAUUGCAGAAUUCAGUGAAUCAUCGAAUCUUUGAACGCACCUUGCGCCCCUUGGCAUUCCGAGGGGCACACCCGUUUGAGUGUCGUGAAAUUCUCAAAACCUUUCCUUUGAAAGAAUUUUGGACUUGGAGGCUUUUGCCGGUUUCACCUCGAAGCCAGCUCCUCCUAAAUGGAUUAGUGGGGUCUGCUUUGCCGAUCCUUGACGUGAUAACUCAUUUCUACGUCUUGGUUUUGGCACUGUCCCUUGGACACCCGCUUCUAACCGUCUCAUCGACAAUGAUGGCGUUCCGGUCACCACCGUCUCAUCGGUGGGGGGCUUGACCCACCAAAAUCACCCUUGACCUCAAAUCGGGUGAGACUACCCGCUGAACUUAAGCAUAUCAAU
rnacentral:rRNA from 1 species